CCUACGUGAGGCAGCAGUGAGGAAUAUUGGUCAAUGGACGAGAGUCUGAACCAGCCAAGUAGCGUGAAGGAUGACUGCCCUAUGGGUUGUACACUUCUUUUAUAUGGGAAUAAAACAGGGUAUGCAUACCCUCUUGUAUGUACCAUAUGCAUAAGGAUCGGCUAACUCCGUGCCAGCAUCCGCGGUAAUACGGAGGAUCCGAGCGUUAUCCGGAUUUAUUGGGUUUAAAGGGAGCGUAGGUGGAUUGUUAAGUCAGUUGUGACAGUUUGCGGCUCAACCGUAAAAUUGCAGUUGAAACUGGCAGUCUUGAGUACAGUAGAGGUGGGCGGAAUUCGUGGUGUAGCGGUGAAAUGCUUAGAGAGCACGAAGAACUCCGAGUGCGAAGGCAGCUCACUGGACUGCAACUGACACUGAUGCUCGAAAGUGUGGGUAUCAAACAGGAGUAGAGACCCUUGUAGUC
rnacentral:rRNA from 1 species